rnacentral:rRNA from 1 species
UACUCGAGUGGCGAACGGGUGAGUAACACGUGGGUGAUCUGCCCUGCACUUCGGGAUAAGCUUGGGAAACUGGGUCUAAUACCGGAUAGGAGCCAUCUUUAGUGUGGUGGUUGGAAAGUUUUUUCGGUGUAGGAUGAGCUCGCGGCCUAUCAGCUUGUUGGUGGGGUAAUUGGCCUACCAAGGCGGCGACGGGUAGCCGGCCUGAGAGGGUGUACGGCCACAUUGGGACUGAGAUACGGCCCAG